rnacentral:rRNA from 1 species
CCAGCCGUAAACUGAUAGCCAAAUCAACAAGCUGUCCGCCAGAGGAUUACCAGCGAAAAGCUAAAAACUCGAAGGACUUGACGGUGUCCCACAUCAACCUAGAGGAGCCUGUCCUAAAAUCGAUAAUCCACGCUUCACCCUACCUGCUCUUGCCCGACAGUCUAUAUACCGCCGUCUUCAGCCUACCUAGUGAUAGCCCCUAAGUAGACACCAUCGCCAACCCACACACACGACAGGUCAAGGUGUAACUAAUGAGCAGGCAGAGAUGGGCUACAUUUUCUUUUACCAAGAAAAAACCAAACCCGCCAUGCAAACCGCGCCAACAAGCAGGAUUUAGCAGUAAGCCUGAUAUAAACCAUGCCAGACUGAACCAUGCUCUGGGACG